GAGACGUGUAUACUCCAAAAACUUCACAACACAUCAAAGUCGAAACUAAAGUCUAUGGCAUAGGAUGGGACAAAUCCAUCAUUAAAACCGAUAUUUAUCGACGACUAUUACAAACAGAUCCACGAAGGAAAAAAGAACGAGAACGGAAACUUUUGCUCAAUAAAUCUAGAAGAAAAAGCCAAAUUGUUAUUGACCGGCAGAUUUCCACCUCUGCAUUUUAUCGUCUGCUUCAGGAUCCAAGCA
rnacentral:lncRNA from 1 species